GAAAAACAGGACAGCCCUGGCCUCGGGGAGCAUGGGAGACCAGAGGUUCAUCUCACCAGAGCCUGAUUCAUAUUGAAACUGAUUAGGCAAGAGCUACUGGGACAGGAGGAAAAUCAUGACCAAACCCUAGAAGCAGUAUUUGUUAGCCAGAUGAAGUCUCAGGGAACACUCUUUUGGAUAUGAAUACUCCAGUCAUUGGAAGGAGUUAAGAGACAUUGAGGUUGACUCUUCCAUGCUUCCGGGAAUGUAGAACAGCCAUGUGACUAAUGUGAUUAUCAGCUCUGUCAGAAAGAAAAAUUAGACACGAAAAUCAAGAUGAGCAUCUUCCAUGGACACCUCACUUCAAGAUCUUACCAUUAUUCCAAGCAAAGCUUUAGCAGGUGAGCUGAAGUGUGAACAAAAGGGACACAAAGCAAGAAGACGACCUAAAUGCAGCAGGCUGGGCACUGUUAGUUUUGCCAUCACUACCAACAGAGUCAGGAUGGAGAAAGGGCCGUUGGUCUUUUGUUCAGCAAAACAGUGCUUGUUUAUUGAUGGUGUAAAUGUUGCUAGGCUACGUGGAUUAAAUUAAAAACCUUUCCUUUCCCAUUGUGUACACCACCUUCAGCAAA